UUUGCACCCUGGCAAAAUACCUCAAAGCACUGUAAAUGUUGCACAGAGGUUGUACUGUCUGCUCCUACAGGACAGAUGAACUCACGGUGUACAUUGGAGCAUGAUACCUGUGUUUAUUUUUUUAAUCACUUUUUGAGGAAAAGAUAUGCCCUAGAAAAUGAACAUGGAAUGGAAGUGGCGAAUGAAAGACUGCAUUUGGGUCUCAAGUGUUGUUGUGAUUUGUCAGGAUUGGGGGCACCUGUUUGAAAUCCUCAGCAGGGAGCCCUGUGACGGCUGAGAAGAUCACUCUACAACAACCAUCUAUCCCCCUUCUAUCAACCAGACAACAAACCAAAAAAGGCAGUGCGUGGGUCGAAUGGGACUAUAUCAGUGCUAAGCAACUCCGUUCCUGGAGAUCUACUGUCCUGUUGGUGAGUGUUUCAGGAUUGGAAUGAAAACCAAAUGGACGGUAGAUGUCCACGAACAAGGUUGCUACCCACAGGACUACAUGGACUCAGUCGGGCCAAGAGAAACGCUCAUCUGGUGAGAUGGAACCCACUCUAAACGCUCCACACAUAAAGGAGGUGCCUCUCGUGUAAUUGAACGGAGCCAAACAAGCUCAU